UACGUAGGGUGCAAGCGUUAUCCGGAAUUAUUGGGCGUAAAGAGCUCGUAGGCGGUUUGUCGCGUCUGCUGUGAAAACUGGGGGCUCAACCCCCAGCCUGCAGUGGGUACGGGCAGACUAGAGUGCAGUAGGGGAGAUUGGAAUUCCUGGUGUAGCGGUGGAAUGCGCAGAUAUCAGGAGGAACACCGAUGGCGAAGGCGGGUCUCUGGGCAACAACUGACGCUGAGGAGCGAAAGCGUGGGGAGCGAACAGG
rnacentral:rRNA from 1 species